GAGUUCCUUGAAGCUUUCUUAGUCCCAACAGCCACCCUGAGAUCGAACAGAUGUACGCACUGUCCCUUAGGCUAAAUUUAGCAGAACUCAUAGACCAUGCAGAUUAGCAUAGCGUAUCUUUC